rnacentral:rRNA from 1 species
AUUGAACGCUGGCGGAAUGCUUUACACAUGCAAGUCGAGCGGCAGCGCGGCCUUCGGGCUGGCGGCGAGCGGCGAACGGGUGAGUAAUGCAUCGGAACAUGCCCAGUCGUGGGGGAUAACACUUCGAAAGAAGUGCUAAUACCGCAUACGUCCUGAGGGGGAAAGCGGGGGAUCGCAAGACCUCGCGCGAUUGGAGUGGCCGAUGUCAGAUUAGCUAGUUGGUGGGGUAAAGGCCUACCAAGGCGACGAUCUGUAGCUGGUCUGAGAGGAUGAUCAGCCACACUGGGCCUGGAAAACGGCCAAGAUCCCUACGGGAGGCGGAAGGGGGAAAUUUUGGACAAUGGGGGCAACCCUGAUCAAGCAAUUCCGCGGGGGGGAAAAGGGCCUUGGGGUGGUAAGCUCUUUCGGCAGGAACGAAACGGUGGGCUCUAACAUAGUCCGCUAAUGACGGUACCUGAAGAAGAAGCACCGGCUAACUACGUG